ACAGGGUAAGGAAGUGUUUGGGCUGCGGGUUACAUUCAUGUGGUUAUAUAAACAAACAAAUGUUACAGGAUCAAACGGGGUUAACAAGGGAUAAUAUGAAAGGGAUGCCUAGAAAGGCUCAGGGCUAUUAUUCAAACAACGUACCUCAGUGUGUGUAUAUAUGCAGUGAUAUUCCAAGAGAACUUACGUAAACUCAGAGUGAUAAAGAAAUACCUCUGAGUAUCGCGCAUGAUGACAAAUUUGUUUGGCUUUUUAUGCACUCACCAUGUUAGGUAAAUCUUGACAGAAUCCACAGUACUUCUAGUAUAGUGCGGCUUCUUACCCAACUCGACAUGCACAGGGAACCUACGUUAGUCGAGCUUGAGACUUUGCGUCCGAUAUUUU
rnacentral:lncRNA from 1 species